rnacentral:rRNA from 1 species
GACGAACGCUGGCGGCGUGCUUAACACAUGCAAGUCGAGCGGUAAGGCCCUUUCGGGGGUACGACGAGCGGCGAACGGGUGAGUAACACGUGGGUGACCUGCCCUCAGCUCUGGGAUAAGCCUGGGAAACCGGGUCUAAUACUGGAUAUGACUCCAUGACGCAUGUUGUGGGGUGGAAAGCCUUGUGCGGCUGAGGAUGGGCCCGCGGCCUAUCAGCUUGCUGGUGGGGUGAUGGCCUACCAAGGCGACGACGGGUAGCCGGCCUGAGAGGGCGACCGGCCACACUGGGACUGAGACACGGCCCAGACUCCUACGGGAGGCAGCAGUGGGGAAUCUUGCGCAAUGGGCGAAAGCCUGACGCAGCGACGCCGCGUGAGGGAUGACGGCCUCGGUGUAACUCUUCANCUCGACGAAGCGAGUGUGACGGUAGGAGCGAGAAGAAGC